rnacentral:tRNA from 1 species
GAGGUCUUAGCUUAGUUAAAGUAUCUGAGUUGCAUUCAGGUGAUGUGGGGUAAAGUCCUGCAGGUCUUA